AUCAGAAGGCGGAGUCACAGAAUCGCGAUGGGUGUCAAGGUGCUCGAUAUGAAAGAAAUUGUACCUGUUCGAUAAUGGACAUGGUGUACGCAAGUCGAUCUAUUCAGACCGGAUACGCCCGCGGCGUACGCGGCUAGUUCAGAAAAUGUUCGCUCGGACAGAACCCGUACGAACGCGUAGCAGCUGCACAGCAGACGAUCAUUAGAUACGGACAACAACAGUCAUACAGCCGGCCGUAUUUAACAGUUGAGGUUGCUACUAAUUUCUAUCGCUGACAGCUGGAGGCGAAUGCGACAGCAACGCCACCACCACCACCACCACCAUCAUCAUCAUUGUUAUUAUUAUCAUCAUCAUACUAGCGACCAAAAGUGGAUUUUUUGUGUUUAGCCGCUGUGCUCUCGUCGUUGACGGAUGCGAGGCGAUCUGGAGUAGUCAGUAAAACGUUGGAUCAGCCAGUGACCCCCGUUAGAAUUUGCAGAUGUAACGCUUGUUCUACGUGCUCAUCAUCGGAUGUUCUAUAAACCCCAUAAGUGAACAUGGUUUUGUAUAAUCGAAUAGUUACUGUUUCACAUUCUACCCGCUCCAGACGCGAAACUUCACAUGCGAAACUUUUGGAAUUUAUCAAGAGAGACAAUAACAUGACAAACAAGUGUCGUAACCUCACCUAUGGAUGACUUCACUGGAUUUCAAUACAAAAA